GACGAACGCUGGCGGCGUGCUUAACACAUGCAAGUCGAACGGAAAGGCCCUGCUUUUGUGGGGUGCUCGAGUGGCGAACGGGUGAGUAACACGUGAGUAACCUGCCCUUGACUUUGGGAUAACUUCAGGAAACUGGGGCUAAUACCGGAUAGGAGCUCCUGAUGCAUGGUGGGGGUUGGAAAGUGUCGGCGGUUGGGGAUGGACUCGCGGCUUAUCAGCUUGUUGGUGGGGUAGUGGCUUACCAAGGCUUUGACGGGUAGCCGGCCUGAGAGGGUGACCGGCCACAUUGGGACUGAGGGACGGCCCAGACUCCUACGGGAGGCAGCAGUGGGGAAUAUUGCACAAUGGGCGGAAGCCUGAUGCAGCAACGCCGCGUGCGGGAUGACGGCCUUCGGGUUGUAAACCGCUUUCGCCUGUGACGAAGCGUGAGUGACGGUAAUGGGUAAAGAAGCACCGGCUAACUACGUG
rnacentral:rRNA from 1 species